GACGUAGGGCGCGAGCGUUGUCCGGAUUUAUUGGGCGUAAAGAGCUCGUAGGCGGCUUGUCGCGUCGUCCGUGAAAACCUGUGGCUCAACUGCAGGCUUGCGGUCGAUACGGGCGGGCUAGAGUUCGGUAGGGGAGACUGGAAUUCCUGGUGUAGCGGUGAAAUGCGCAGAUAUCAGGAGGAACACCGGUGGCGAAGGCGGGUCUCUGGGCCGAUACUGACGCUGAGGAGCGAAAGCGUGGGGAGCGAACAGG
rnacentral:rRNA from 1 species